rnacentral:pre_miRNA from 1 species
ACCUACCCUGUCGAACUGUGGUUGUUCGAUAGGUAUCCCUGUCGAACCGCGGUUGUUCGACAGGGUG